AUUGAACGCUGGCGGCAGGCCUAACACAUGCAAGUCGAACGAGUGGCGGACGGGUGCGUAAUUUCUGGGAAACUGCCUGAUUGAGGGGGAUAACUACUGGAAACGGUAGCUAAUACCGCAUACAAUCAGAUUUGCCCAGAUGGGAUUAGCUUGUUGGUGGGGUAACGUCUCACCAAGGCGACGAUCCCUAGCUGGUCUUAGAGGAUGACCAGCAAAACUGGAACUGAGACACGGUCCAGAGUCCUACUGGAGUCAGCAGUGGGGAAUAUUGCACAAUGGGCGCAAGCCUGAUGCAGCCAGGCCGCGUGUAUGAAGAAGGACUUCGGGUUGUAAAGUACUUUCAGCGGGUAGGCGUUACCCGCAGAAGAAGCACCGGCUAACUCCGUGCCAGCAGCCGCGGUAAUUC
rnacentral:rRNA from 1 species